UACGGGGGGAGCAAGCGUUGUUCGGAUUUACUGGGCGUAAAGGGCGCGUAGGCGGCCUCUGCAAGUCAAUUGUGAAAUCUCCGGGCUUAACUCGGAAAGGUCAACUGAUACUGCAGGGCUAGAGUGCGGAAGGGGCAACUGGAAUUCUCGGUGUAGCGGUGAAAUGCGUAGAUAUCGUAAGGAAGACCAGUGGCGAAGGCGGGUCUCUGGACAGUUCCUGACGCUGAGGCACGAAGGUCAGGGGAGCAAACGGG
rnacentral:rRNA from 1 species